rnacentral:rRNA from 1 species
UGGGGAAUUUUGGACAAUGGGCGAAAGCCUGAUCCAGCAAUGCCGCGUGUGUGAAGAAGGCCUUCGGGUUGUAAAGCACUUUUGUCCGGAAAGAAAUCCUUGGCUCUAAUACAGUCGGGGGAUGACGGUACCGGAAGAAUAAGCACCGGCUAACUACGUGCCAGCAGCCGCGGUAAUACGUAGGGUGCAAGCGUUAAUCGGAAUUACUGGGCGUAAAGCGUGCGCAGGCGGUUUGCUAAGACCGAUGUGAAAUCCCGGCGUCAACCUGGAACUGCAUUGGUGACUGGCAGGCUAGAGUAUGGCAGAGGGGUGAGAAUUACCACGUGUAGCAGUGAAAUGCGUAGAGAUGUGGAGGAAUACCGAUGGCGAAGGCAG